CUCAAGCUGCCUCCUGUUACAGAAAAGCAAAGCAACUAAAAACGGCAGCUGGGGAGCUCAGUUGACUCACCCAGCAUAAUCAUCUCCUCCUAGAAUCUCCCAUCUUCUCCUGGGGUUUUUGCCAACACAAAGUAAAAAAGAAGCAUGAGAUCUUUAAAAAUAAAAACAACAACAACAACAAAACCCACAAAAAACCUCUCUCAGCAUUUAUGCAACAGCCUUUCUACCUGAGUGCAGAUUUAACCCUUUGUAUUUGCCCUUUCCAGCGUGGUUUCCUUAGAACGUCCUCAUGCCGAGGAGCAGAUCCAGCUCCAGGCUGGGAAACAGGCCUUCUGGGUCCUCUCCAGUUCCAGCUCCACACUGGAAGGUGCUGAAUAAGACAUGUGCCUCCUUCCACUGCAUCCUCCUCUGGAAGUGGAAAAAAAGACUGCCUCCCUAGUCCUCCGGCCUCAAAGCGGGUAUUGGAGGAGGAGGAGGAAAUAUCAGCACACACACGGGGACAGCGCUUGCCGCCCCGGGAGCUGUGGCCAGAGGUCGGAGCUCAAGCAGGGGAAUGAGUGAGGGAAACCACCUAAGGUCAUCACUGUCCUCUCACCUCAGAGCAGUCCCCACCUGGCCGGGCUGCAACGUGGCCGCCCCACGUAUGUGACCAUUACAAAUCCAACUGGCCACUCCGCAUGAGCAAAGCCCCCGUGAGGCUGCUCCUGCUCACAGGCGGAGGUGUCAUCUUCCUCCGAGCGGGUGAGUGCACCUGAGUGGUGGCACUGGCUGUUUCCAGUGCCUCCUGACAAUGAGUCCAAUCGGCUAAAAUUGAGAACUUGGCCUCACUCAUCCCUUAGAGGGAUCGCAGGAGUGAGUGUAGCUCUCAGACAACCUUUCUGGGUGGGAAGUGGUGCCUCUGUGUGUUUCUUUUUGUCUUUGUCAUUUGGUACCCAGAAGGACAACUUACUUUUCCUAAGAGAUGCUAUGACUACAAACUAAUGAGAAUACUUCCACAAAGCACAUGCAAAUGUGCUGCGGCACACUGGUCAAGAAAUCCCCAACUUACCAGAAGUUCCAUCUGGAGAAGAACAAAUGGUGGCUGUGUCUUAGACCCGCUCACGAGGGCCCACCAUUGUAUCUGAAGCAGUACGUUAACCGCACUUAAGAUUUAAACCAUAGCCCAGAACGGGAAAACUAACUCAAGAGUUCUGCCUUGGGACAUGUCUUUGCUCCCCAAGCAGCACGGGCAGCAGUAACUGAGGCUCUGUAACCUUCAAACCCCGGGUGAGGGCCUAAAACAAGGGGACUGGAGCUGGGGGAGGGGGCUUCAAAGCAUUUCGGGUGGCCGGGUAGGAGGCAGGGUAUGAGGAGAAAUGAACCCAAGCAGAAGUGAGGAAUGAGGCUGGAGUUUCAAAAGGAAUUUUGAGUGGGUACUGCCUUACAGGAAAGAAGGGCUAAUUCUGGAAGACCACUCUAGCUCUCUCUCUUCCAGCUAGAGAGAGAAAAGGGAGCCUGGGACAGUCCCCUGAUUUAUCAGGGGCAAAUGCUCCUUAGAAUGAUCUCCCUGCUCGGCACCUGAAGCCAGGGAUGUGCUUCCCAUCUACCUCACUGGGCCCACUGUGGCCUCAACCCUGGGCCAAGGACAGAGACUGCAGGACCCUGUUAUUAAGUGGCCACGGUCUGGGCAGACCACUUUUACAAGU